CUUCCACACUUCCUAUCCUUUCCUAGGUCCAUGAAAUGGAUCUGAAGAGCUCUGCUGGCAACACGUCUUAAGUAAAUAAUACUUACACUUUGUUAACGAGAAGGUUGGCUGGCUGUUGAUCAAGACACCAUCUCUACUGACAGCAGGCUUUGACUGGAGGAGACAGAGUGCUGUGGGAUUCCUGCUUGGAGGAGGAUCUACUCUGUGCUGGAGUUUCCUGCCCUGGAUUUGCUUUGGCGUCUACUUACCACUUCUGUCAAACUUCAUCAGUAUCUGUACUGCAGGGUCAGAAGCAGCAACUGCAUGUGCACCAUUGUUUCCUUCUUCAUACAUAUUGAGAGCCAGACUGGAAGUAAUCCAAGCAGCUUCAAUUUUGCCUAAAGUAGCAGAAGAGUUUCCCUUCCAUGCUUCCAGACCCAGAGAAGUGGCUGGUGCUUGAAAACCGAAGCAGCAACAAGAAAACUGUUAAGGAUGAGUUCCUCCUCCCGCCUCUCCAAAGGAUUUGAGUUUUGCUCUGCGAGUCCCUAAUGUGCCUGUGUAUGAUGAGGUGGUGAUGCUAAGGAAUGAUUGUUUGUCAGUCUGUAACAAGGUUUCCUCCACACCAGUUCAGCUGUACCUGGUAAGUCUGAGAAUCCGUACUCAAGCAUUUUUUACUGCUCUUGUCCCCUACAUGGGCCUGAAGCUCAGCUAAAGUCUAUAUGGAGAAAAAGAGUGGUAGUUUUAUGUUAGUUUCGUGCUGUGUUUUUUUAUGUCAGGAAAACUGAACUUUGCAGACGUGAUAAUUAUGCUGUUCUUUUACAUAAUUCCCGGAGUUGAAUACAGUUGAACAUCUAAGUUGAGCAAUUAAAUUAAUGAAUAGUGUCACUGCAGAUUGUUUUAUUAAUUUAAUAUUAGAUGGGUAGGGGGCCAACACUGUGGAAUGAAUCAUUUUUAAUGCACACCCAUAAAUUAGCAAGCAUUGCUUGUGCUUCCUUUGUGUGUGUAAUUUUGCACUUCAGCAGAGAAUUAUAAACUGUAAUUAGUUUGCAACUGAACAUACAAAGGUUCAAUGGCCUUCUCAUUGCAUCAAAGAACUGCGCUAAAA
rnacentral:lncRNA from 1 species